GAUGAACGCUGGCAGCGUGCCUAAUACAUGCAAGUCGAGCGAACGGACGAGAAGCUUGCUUCUCUGAUGUUAGCGGCGGACGGGUGAGUAACACGUGGAUAACCUACCUAUAAGACUGGGAUAACUUCGGGAAACCGGAGCUAAUACCGGAUAAUAUUUUGAACCGCAUGGUUCAAAAGUGAAAGACGGUCUUGCUGUCACUUAUAGAUGGAUCCGCGCUGCAUUAGCUAGUUGGUAAGGUAACGGCUUACCAAGGCAACGAUGCAUAGCCGACCUGAGAGGGUGAUCGGCCACACUGGAACUGAGACACGGUCCAGACUCCUACGGGAGGCAGCAGUAGGGAAUCUUCCGCAAUGGGCGAAAGCCUGACGGAGCAACGCCGCGUGAGUGAUGAAGGUCUUCGGAUCGUAAAACUCUGUUAUUAGGGAAGAACAUAUGUGUAAGUAACUGCGCACAUCUUGACGGUACCUAAUCAGAAAGCCACGGCUAACUACGUG
rnacentral:rRNA from 1 species